GACGAACGCUGGCGGCAUGCCUAACGCACGCAAGUCGAGCGAGUAGAUCCCUUCGGGGUGAAGCUAGCGGCGGACGGGUGAGUAACACGUGGGCAACCUGCCUCAUAGAGGGGAAUAGCCUUCCGAAAGGAAGAUUAAUACCGCAUAAGAUUGUAGCUUCGCAUGACGCAGCAAUUAAAGGAGCAAUCCGCUAUGAGAUGGGCCCGCGGCGCAUUAGCUAGUGGGUGAGGUAACGGCUCACCAAGGCGACGAUGCGUAGCCGACCUGAGAGGGUGAUCGGCCACAUUGGGACUGAGACACGGCCCAGACUCCUACGGGAGGCAGCAGUGGGGAAUAUUGCACAAUGGGGGAAACCCUGAUGCAGCAAUGCCGCGUGAGUGAUGACGGCCUUCGGGUUGUAAAGCUCUGUCUUCGGGGACGAUAAUGACGGUACCCGAGGAGGAAGCCACGGCUAACUACGUGCCAGCAGCCGCCGUAA
rnacentral:rRNA from 1 species